AAGCGCUUGUGACCAGACUUGGGCUUGGUUGAUCAUCCAGGGUUCUCCCCGGUGCACUCUUCCAGUCCAGGCCAGCAUCAGUUCGCCGCGGGGGACAAAAGCUUCGGGAAUGUGGCUCCCUCGGGAGUGUUAUAGCCCAUUGUGUAAUACCCUGUGGUGGACUGAGGUUCGCGCAUCUGCAAGGAUGCUGGCGUAAUGGUCAUCAGCGA
rnacentral:rRNA from 1 species